GUGGCAUAACGUUUGAAUGGCAAUGGGUCAAACGGGUGAUAAAGCAACAACAUUCCUACGGGCAAAGGUGAUAAGUCAUGAAAAUCAACGGGGUGACUUGAACCAGAAUCAUGAAAGAAGAAAACAUCUCACAAGUCAUUCACCAAUAAUUCGAUUCGGGUGGUAGGAAGGCGAAAGUGAUCAAGUUUUUGAAGCGGGUCAACGAUAUGAAGAUUUAGUGAUGCCUUGUUCACUAAGUAAUAUGGGUUUUCUUAUUGGGUCAACUUGACUUAGUUAGUUGCAUUUUAGAGUUUAACUUUAAUGUUUAUUUUAGCCAAGUGCUAGUAUGUCAAUGUAGUAGUGGGUUAUAUUUGUUUUAUAAAAACCUUGGUUAAUAAGCAGGUAUUGUUUUCGUAAGGAUUGGUCGUGAUGCAAACGGGUCAUGGCGAAAUUUUCUAAAAGUGUGUUUGUAAUUAUUUUAUUAAUCCGAUUAUGUGGAUUAAUAGA